GAAUAGUGUUUUACGUUUACCUUUAUGUGCACUAGGCCUAAUCGAAAUGUUCUGUUUUAGGAAGAGUAGACAAGAUCGCGAAAUGGAAGAGUUGAGACAGAAGAGGACGUACACAUGUAGUCUCGGUCAUUCACACAGCAGUAUGCGAGAGGUUAACGCUUGUCAUGAUUACAGGCUGAAAUCCCAGUUUCUCGAACGCUUUGCCAAAUUGCCGAG